CCUUUCCAGCCCUCGCCUUCAUACAGUACAUUUAAAGUAGCAGUAACCUCUUUCUCCUCCCCCCGCAGCCUGCCUGGAAACAUUAGAAGGGACCGAGGCGGCGAGAUGUCUAAAAUAGGAAGCCGCUGGGGAUGGCUGGCCUGGCUGCCCGCGAUGCUGGCUGCGGGGAUCUGGACCGGCAGUGCAGAUGGAAAAGCUAGGAGGGGAUGCCGGGUGAGCCUUUGAACGUCUCCUUCCCAACCUCCCCCACGCUCAGCCGCUCUUGCAGGAGAGGAGAAGCCGUCUGCCCCUCCGCACUGCUGACUCCUAGGAGCCACGCCUCAGUGAUCCGCUGAUUUUGGAAGAAUGGCCAUGGAGUUGGGGUAGAGGGAUCAAGAGGAGAGGGAUGGGGGACAGGCAGACAUCUACAGGGCUCAGGUGAAGGUUUUCCUGCUAGGAGCCCAUGGUACUGUCCUCUACUGAAUGGGCUUGGACCAAGGCGAUGCUGACACAUAACGACACCUACACUAGGGCCUUCCCAGCUGGCAGUGGCUCCCAGAGAGCCAGCGGCUGCAGAUGUGGUCAGCCUGGCCACAAGAAGGCUCCUCCUGUUCCUUCACCCCUCCCCCCCCCCCCCCCACCUUGGAUGACAGGAUCCCGGCUCCCAGCCUCCUCCUGCCUUAAUUACAGGGAAGCUAGCUCUACCCAGGCCUGCUGUGGGCACCAGGCUCCCUGGAUCUCCUCAUUAAGGGUGCCUGGGGAGGGCUGUUUUGGGGUGGAGGAGGCCUAAGUGUAGAGAAUGGGACCAUAUUCCUCCAGUCCAUAGGUGAGUUUCCUAGGGCCCUGGGAGCACCGAGGGGGGGAUGUCUGGGGUUCAUUUGCAGAUGGGCAGUCAGAGCUUCUUCCUGAGCAGUACACAGUGGGGACAUAGCACAUAGGACAGGGCUGAAGCUGAGUGAGCUAUAGCACAUCUGUGAUUCCAAGUACCUGGGAGGCUUCGGUAGGAGGAUAGUGAGUUCAAGGCCAGCCUUAGCUGUGAGCCUGGGGCAGGCUGGCAAGCUGCUGAAGGGCUUGGCUAAGCCUCUCACAAUGAGGUCCAGAGUCUUGGGAAGGAGACCCGGGCUUCCAUGCUAGCUGUGCCUCCAGCGUGGGGUGCUGCCUUCUCUGGUCCAGCCAAGGAACAGAGCUUGAUUCUCUGGCAUUUUGUCCAUCCAUCAAUAAUCAUGUUUACAGAUGCUAUCAGAGUUCCCGCCCUCCAGGACUCCCUUAUGAUGAAUGUGUGUCCCCACCACAAUCCCCUUCCUUUCCUUGGUGACACAUCAGUGCUUUGGGGCUCAUCUCCUGUUGCACCCUUUGGCUGUGACUGCUGAAUCAAUCCCUUGCCCAUGGACACCUAGUUUACUACGGGUUGCCAUGCAAACAAGCAGCCGUACAAUCAAUUAUUAUUAUUUUUUCUUUUAAAAGUAGAGUCCCAUGUAACUCCAGGCUGGCAAAGAAUUCAUUGUGUGGUCAAGGAUGGCCUUGAACUUCUCAUCUUGUGGUUCCCACUCCUCAAGCACUGGGCAUGCGCAUGUGGCACCAUGCCUGGCUUUCAGUUCAGUGCCGGGGAUUGAACCCAGGAUUUCAUGCAUUCUAGGUAAACUCGCUACCAACUGAGCUACACCCACAACCCUGCAGUGAGUAUCUUGAUGCAUGUACCCCAUGCACAUCUGUCUGGUAACUUCUGUAGGACAAACCGUAAACACAGGGUUGACGAGGCAGAAAGGCCUGCCUUUGCACAAGGCAGCAAAAGUCUGUGAACUCUACCAAGAGUCUGCAAGUACUGGGCUGGGCCUCGCUCUGGUGCAGGCCUGGCGUAGCCAGCAUCCCUCGUCCUGUGGGUUUGUCAUCUAGCUGAGGAGAAGCACACACUUCCACACUUCCAUCAGAUAGACGCUGCUGGGAAAGCAGACGGGGGUGGGGGGGGUGGCAGGGGAAUACCUCCAGCAGUGUUACGACGGGCCAGGCUGCACAGAGCACAAGGGGCCAUCCCGUAGGCGUGGGCAGAGCCUGUGCAAAGGCUCAUGGGUAGAGGUUUGGAUGAUGGCCAGUGUGCUCAGGGGGGGGUGGUCAGGUGCAAGAGGGCUCACGAGAAAGGUCGGAGAUGGCUUCUUGGAGAGCUCCGUGGACUGGGGGGUGUGGGCCGUGGCCAGGGGCUGACCCAGGAGGCUCCUUGGCUGCUGCAUGGAGAAUGGUCAGAGUGAACUCAGAGAGGCCACAGGGGCCACUGCUAUUAUUGAAGGUAAAGACCCCGGGGACUCCAGCAGGUGAUGGAGGUGGAGGGGGGAGAGUUCACAGAUUCAAGACCCUGUGGGGAUCUUGGGUGCAGUUGCAGGGUCAGCAGAGAAGGGGACAGCCCAGGGUGACUUGAAGGCUCUUGUUGCCAUAGUUGGUCUGCUCCAGAGGGCUGAGUGAGGCAGCAGAAGGAGGGCUGGGGCUGGGCACAAGGGGCUCUGCUGUAGAGCCUGAUGUUUGAGGAAUACAGACCACCGCAGAGAGGUCAGGGAGCUCAGAGCCGCAGGAAGGAUGGCAUCUGUAUCCGUCUGAGACCUGCAGUUCCCUGCAUAGCCUAUUAGGCCAGCUCACUGCAAAGCCUUGCUCGGCCUCCAGGACUAUUGCUGCAUGCACAGAAAGGAGUUAAAUAGGGGCUGUGGAAUGGCUUAGAUGGUAGGGUGCUCACCUUGCAUGCAGGAAGUCCCAGGUUCUAGCCCCAGCUCUGCAUUAAGCGGAGCUUGGUAAUCCCAGCACUUGUAGAUGAAGACAAGAGGAUCAGAAGUUCAAAGCCAUCCUCUGAUACACUGGAGGCCAGCCUCAGCUACCAGAGAUCCUGUCAAAAGGAAAAAAAAGGAGGGGCGAGAGGGAAGUGGGAAGGAACGGAAAAAGAGAUAAAAGGAGUGGGCAGACACGGAUAGGAGGGAGGAGCAGUGAGGGAAUGGGAACCCUGCAGAGGGCUUGCAGGAGAGAGGACAGGAGCCUGGUACAAGACUGGUCAUCGUUGCCUCUAGAAAGGUCACACCAACAGGCCAGCAUGCAGACACUGCCAGCUCUGUCAAGUCCUAGGCUCGGCCGAGCGGGAAAUCUUCUGGAUCUAGGAAGACUUACCACGCAGAGAUCUGAGAGCAAAGAGGGUAAGUGCAGGAACACGAGGGCUUGUGAUCAGGUCAGCGGAUCCUAGAAAGCACUUGCCAGGGAGGGGCCGGCCACAGAGGACUGGGAGGGAUGGAGAGUCCAGGAACUGGAGGGUGUAGGCAUGGCUUCCUAUCACAUACACUGAGGUACGAUGUGCUCCAACAGCCUCCGGGCUGUUUUCAUGCCCCAGAUUUUCCUGUUGAACUUCCCUGUCUAAGACCGAAUGGAGCCCAGGAGGAGCCCAAAUGCCCUGCUCCCACUGAGUUAAGCGGUAUGGAGUCUGGCCAGGCUGGGUGCUCUCUCUUGACACUGCCUGGGCACAGGUGACAGAGCUCAGACUUCACAAUAAGACCAGGUGCCAAUCUACCUGCCUUGGUCCAAACCCCACUGUGCACCUGCUGGGUGACCCUCAGCACACGAGCUCCCUUCUUAGUCCCACUACGCACCUGCCCGCGUGAGCUGCCCAGCAUGGCUGUCCCCACAUCUUCUCCUUGUUGCCUUCCUUCUCCCCCUUUUCCGCCUCUGUCUUAGUCACUGUCCCGUUGCUGUGAGGAGACACCACGGCCAAGGCAGCUCCUAUAAAAGGAAGCAUCUACCUGGGGGCUUGCUUACAGCUUCAGAGGGUAGUCUGUCAUCAUGGCAGGGAGCAUGUCGGGCAGGCAUAGGGUUGAGAGCUUCAUCCCGGUUCACUGGAAGGCAGUCAAGCAAAGAGAAAGAGACACCAGGCCUGGUGUGGGCUUUUGAAACCCCUAAGGCCCCUCCCAGUGACACGCCUCCUCAACAAGGCCACGCCUCCUAAUGCUUCAUAAACAGUUCGACUGGGGGCUAAACAUGCAAACCCACGAGCCUGUGGGGGCCGCUGUCUUUCAAGCCACCACACCCUCUUAUCCCCGCCACAUGCCAGCCUCUUGGGUUUUGGUUUGUUUUACAAGAGGAUAUUGCUAUGUGACCAGCCUGGAACUUAGCAUCUUCCACCCCAGCUUCUGGAGUGCCUGGAUUCCAGGUGUGUGUCACCAUGGAGCUUGCCCCUCACCCCAGGUCUGCUGCAACGCCUCUGUAGUAGAUUCUCCCAGCUCUGCCCUGGACCUGGCUCUGACCACAGGCUGCUGGCUACUUCAAGCGUCCCCCAUUCACCCUGCCUUCUGUGGUAAUUUCCUCUGCACGCCUCCUAAAAUAGAGUAUGCUCUCCCAGACCCCACCCUCACCGCAGCUCCAUUCUGUACUUGAAGCACCCAGAAGACCUCCACAAACCCACGAUACGACAAGUGACACAGCUCAGCUGUCCUUUGUCUUUUCCUUAAUUUAUUGUGCAUACAACCCAGUGAACCCACGGGGCUUGAGGUAGCGCCCCCAGAGUUAUUCCUACAUAACUUCCAUGUAUCUCCUGUUUCUCUGACUCUUCAUUCUCAGGCCUUCCAUAGUCAGGAAGGGCUUGAACACAAGGCCACACAAGGCACUCCAACAACCCUUCACCCCCCCCAACUCAGUGACUGAGAAGUGACCCAGCUGGGAUUUGAACCCUUGCCUCUGUGGCGGCCUCAUGGAAAGGAGGUUGUCUGGUAUGUGUGACAGAGAUGCAAAGAGUCAGCUAGAAGAGCUGUCCCACCAGUCCUUGCCCUGACCACCAGGACCCAAGUUCACAUCUGGAACCCCUGCGAGCCAUGUCUUCCUGGCUCUGGAUUGAAGAGUCUCCUUUUCAGGCCUUGAGCUUCAUGGCAGACACAAACAUCAAACAAGUCCUGAGCCACACCAGGUUUGACGUGGCAUGAUCCUGGCCACCUCGUCCAUUUCUGCAGAGAGACAAGGACACAUAGUGAAUUCCUUCUGAGGACAGUGGCUUCCACGGCUGCCUGUUCAGAGAUCUGCAAUGCUGGACAGUCACGCCAUGCCUAUCCCACUACUGCUGCCCAGCUGGACUUGGCUAUCACCUGCCUGGCUGGGCAGAGUAAGCUUGCAUGGGGAAGCCCCUGAAUUACCACAUUUCCUGACCUGAACUCAUAUCUGUGCAAUCCACCUGACCUCCCCACACCAGGCCUCUUGGCUGGUGUUCAGGCAAGUCAGGAAAAACCACAAGAACCUGAAGUGUUUACAGAUGGGCAACAGCAGAAGUCUGUGCGAUUCAGCAAAUGCUGCCCGAGGCCGGUGCCAAAGGCUGGAGACUUGGGAAUGAGUAAACCAGAGUGCCAGCCAUGGAAAUCUCCAAUCAUGGGAGAGGGGCUCUCAAAGCAUCACCGUGUGGGGAGGCUGCCCACCAUGGCAAGAGGGCUUCAAAUGCUCUUUUACUGUGGAGGGUUGGACACAAGAACCAAGCAGGGUGCCAGACCACGCGGCUCAUCCAUCACAUGACA